UUCAAGUCAGUCCACAAGCUGCCCAGUCUCCUCUAGCUUCUAGCUGCCUUAGGCUUGUUUUUCCUUGGUUAUCCUCUUAGAGGCUAUGUUGGCACCCACCUAUGCGGUGUCUGGGACUGCUGCCGUGUGCGCUGCUGGGUUCUCUGAGGGAACCAUUGCUAAAAGCUCUGAGAUGGCUCCGUGCCUAGAGCUCGUUCUGCCCCCAAAAGUGGCAAAGAAGACCAAACACUUAAAUGGCCCAGACGUGACCGAAAAGAAAAAGGAAUGGAAGCUGGCCUCCGGUGGGGCUCCACUUUGUGAGAGGCUUCAGCUACAGGCAGUACGGGCAUGGCUAUCACCAACGGCAGUCUCUGAGAUUCCUGCCAAAACCAUGGCCAGACGUGGCCUAAAAGAAAAAGGAAUGCAAGCUGGCCUCCGGUGGGGCUCCACUUUGUGAGAGGCUUCAGCUACAGGCAGUACGGGCGCGGCUAUCACCAACGGCAGUCUCUGAGAUUCCUGCCAAAACCAUGGCCAGACGUGGCCUAAAAGAAAAAGGAAUGCAAGCUGGCCUCCGGUGGGGCUCCACUUUGUGAGAGGCUUCAGCUACAGGCAGUACGGGCGCGGCUAUCACCAACGGCAGUCUCUGAGAUUCCCGCCAAAACCACAGCAGCAAUUAUGUCUCUCCUCAGCCCGUGCCUGUUUAUAAGGCUUUGCCUUCGGCCUUGCCGCUCGCUGCUGCUGCUGCACUCCUACAGGGGGUGCGCUCAGAAACGCCUGAGACUAUUACCAGCCCUAACAAUGAAGCUUUGUCAGCCGGAAAAGAGCCUAGUCCACAGAGUGCUGAUAUGCAAAAGAAAGCCGCAGCUAGCUGCUUCUGUUGAAUGGGCUCCUCUCAAGUUGUAGAGAUGCUGUGUGUGAGCAAGGAAAGGAGGAACUUUGUUUUAGCCCCUCUUUAGUACCCCAGCCCUCCUCUGUGGCUCUGGGCUGUUUAAACCGAACAAGCUGUUAUUAAGGCCAUCAUUGCUGACAUCUCCUCACACUGAGUCAUCACAAAUACAUCUUCCAAGAGUCAUGAAUCUUGCUUCCUUGACAGCAGACUGGAGGUGUAACACCCAUAAAGAGAGGAACCCUCUUUCAAGGGAAUGCAGCCACGUUGCCAAAUCAUGUUGGAAGAGGACAUGAAAAGUUACAUCGCCAUCUCCAGGCACACUGAGAGGGCCAAGGUGGAGGCCGUCCCUGAAGGCUCUUUCCUAUAGAUUCCUGGCAGAUUCCCUUCAAAGGACUGAAACCACCUGGAAGGAAUGGCUUAUCAAGAGAGGUUGGAGGAGCCCUGUGUGGACUGCAGGACCAAAUGGAAGACUACAUGGUCCUCAGGAGGCAGCUCUUGUGCUCUGCUGCCACACUGCCAGUUAUUCUGAAACGGUAUGCCAAGGUUCUCUUGUGAGAAAUAAAAUAAUAAACACCUCCAGUGAGCCUGAACUACCCACUCACACAAAGGAGGAUGCUUGCUAGCAUUCAACAUGAUUCACUGCAUACCCUCCAAUGUUUCACUGAUGAAAACAGGGUCACGCCUGUGAAUGUGUAGGAUGCAUGACCAACCAACCUGGGAGGCGUGGUGUAGAAUAUGUGGGGGGUGUGGCCAAGCCACCUGGCAGCAUGUCACAAAUGGAAAACAGGCAAUAAAGGACAGAGCUUAUCAUUUCAGAUUUCUAAAGCAGAUGAGCCAAGCCCAUCCCUUCCAACAUUUUGCAGAACAAUAUAGGUUAAACUAGGAAUAUAUGGGUAACAACCAGUUCUCAUACCAUGGCUUUCUGCCACCGCCUCCACCCCACUAUUACACAUUAGUGAAGGGAAAGCUGGAUUCCACCUGCUAUCGCUGUGCACUGCAUAACAACUGAGAGUUGCGCAUCCAUGAAAACACAGGCGCACUAGAGACAUGAUGCAUCCACCAACCCACUUGGAGGUUUCAUUUCUAGAGAUUCUGGGGAGGGAGCUGAAUCCUGAAGAAUGACAAGCCUAGCAACUGAAAUGAAGGGCAGGACGAGGCGGCGGGGGUGGGGGACCCUGUACAAGGCAUUCCUAAGAGGGAAGAAAAGGGACAAAAUAGGGACAGUAAUUUACCAGGGACAGAUCCUAGAAAUAGAGACUGUCCCUGAUCAAUAGGGUCAGUUGGAGCCUAUGAGAGUGCAAAUUUUAUAAUGUGGUCCAAUUAUACAUGCUAUUCAGUGAC